GGCCGCCUCCGCUCCGGGAGCGGGAGGGAAGCUACCCGCAAAACUGGAGAGGACGGAGCUGGCAGAGAGGACUUCUGACUUUCAGAUAUUUAAAACCCGAGACUGUGGUUCUCUUUGAUUCAUCAUCUGUUCAAGAAUGUUGGCAUUACUAAAACUGCAAAGGGGUUAAACAAGAAUAGAAGAGCGAGGAACCAGAUUGUCAUAAAAUAUUCUUUUCCUGAAGUUGUCAAACAGCCACAGCAAAGCAUGACUAAGAUGAAAGACAAGGCUGCAGUGGAAUGUGGAGCUGAUGAGAUAGCUCCAUACUGAGAGCUGAACUGGACUGCAUUGAGUUGAUUGUACCUUCCUGAAAAGGUAAAGAAGCAGAGAAGGGUAAGAAUUUUUCAAUAAUUAUAAGAAAUCAGAGGGAAGAAACAAAACCCAGAAGAUGUGAAAGCAGCUCACAUGACAUUGCAAUCUCAGAGUUUAUGCUGUCAGCAAAAAGAGACUGGAUGAAUUUCUGCAGACUCAACAGUAAUUGCCAUGCAGCAGCAGUUAGCACUAUUGAAAUGCUGGAGAUGAUGGGAACCAACUAGGCUGUAGUGACUGGGAACAGAUGUCCUCAGAAGAGCAUGAGACAGCAUUCUGCAAUGUGAGAGAAAUCCUUGCCUGACAGUCAAAACUGAUGGUUUGGUUUGUAGACUGGGACACAUAGCUCUCAUGAGAUAGAAAUGUUAGCUUUUAUCUUCUUUUGUGCCAAUAGAAUGCCUCAGUGUUAGGUUUAGCAGAAGUGCCUGCAUUUGUGAAUAUAUUUAAGGACUGUAAUGUCAGGAGCAAUUUCUCUCCGGCUUGGUGUGAUUUCAUAUUUUGUCAUGACCUAGGUGUAACUGGCCUUGAGUUGAGCUGUUUAUAUUCUCCCUUGGAGCAAGACUUGGUUAAGCUCAUGCUGUUCUGUUCCAUCAAGCAGCUGCCACUAGAGCCACUUGUGUGAAGCUUACCUCAGGAGCUUGCUGACUAGUAUUUUCCCAGUGGAUAGAAGUAGGAUUUGAAUUUCCAGCCUACCCAGGGUUGCCGAAGUCCUGAAAGUCAAAGCACCUACAUUCAGCCCCAGUUAGGAAAAGUCCCUAAACAUGCAAAGCUGGAAGCUUUAUACCCAUGCUGCUCAUCUAAAUUGACAGUGCACAAGGCAGACUGAUUGACAGGAAAUGAGUUAAAGACUGUGAUCUCUGUGCUUAAAUGCUGUUCAGAGGUAUCUAAGGACUACUCUAAAGGAGUAGCAAUUCCUCUGAAGGAUUUGCUAGUAAGGUCAGGCUAGAAAGCCAGUUACAGCCAGAAUUUAGUAUUUGUCUCAUGGUAUGUAUUGCAUACUUGCUUGCUGCUGUCUUGUUGCCUGCACCAGCUUUUUUUUUUUCCCUCAGUUUGCUUAAAAGUAAUUACAUGAAUGGAAAGAUAUCGUGAAUAAAAAAGUAUCAUGCUUAUCAGUCUUCUUGGCAGCUCAUGUCUGUUCUCCAUAGUCUGGCAGGACUACUCCAGUGACUACCCGAAUACUCUAAAGCAAAGAUCAUAGCUGUAUAUCCUAUGAAAUAGGAAACCUUUAGUGAUUUAGACUUGGUUCAUGUGAUUUUCACUAGGGCUAAGGAGGUAUGAACUUUUGUGAAGCAAGUAUUUUAAGUUUUCACAUGUGAAAAAAUGCCAGAGGUUAAUGAAAGUGUAAUCUCACUACAGAAAGAUGAGGCCAGGAAUUUAAAAUUGGGAGCUUAAAAUCCUUAUCAUUAUUGAGUGACAUAAGUAAGUAAAUAAAGACCUUGAAGAAUCCAAGAACCCCAUGCCACACUACAGACUUGGGGAACAGUGACUGGAAAGCUUCCCAGCCAAAAAGGACCUGGAGGUGUUUGUUGACAGCUGACAGAUUAUGAGCCAGCAAUGUGCCCAGGAGGCUGAGAAGGUCAACAGCAUCCUGGCUUGUGUCAGAAAUAUUGUGACCAGCAGGACGAGGAAAGUGAUUGUCCCCCUGUACUUGGUGCUGGUGACGCCACACCUUUAAUGCUGUGUUCAGUUUUGGGCCUCUCACUAUGAGAGGGACACUGAGGUGCUGGAGCAUGUCCAGAGAAGGGCAAUGAAGCUGGUGAAGGGUCUGCAGCACAAGUCUGAUGAGGAACAGCUGAGGGAACUGGUGUUAUUUAUCGUGGAGAAAAGGAGGCUGAGGGAAGACAUGAUCACUCUACAACUGUCUGAAUCACAGAAUAAUGGAAAGGCGGUUGUAGCAAGUAGAUCUCUUCUCCCACAUAACAAGUGAUAGGACAAGAGGAAAUGGCCUCAAGUUGUGCCAGGGGAGGUUUAGAUUAGUUGUUAGGAAAAAAAUUCUUCACAGAAAGGGUUGUCAAGCCUUGGAACAGGCUACCCAGGAAAGGGGUUGAGUCACCAUUCCUGGAGAUAUUUAAAGGACAUGUGGAUGUGGUGCUUAGGGACAUGGUUUAGUGGUGGCUGUGGCAGUGCUAAGUUAAUGGUUGGACUUGAUGUUCUUAAGGGUCUUUUGCAACUUAACCAAUUCUGUGCUUCUAUGAAGAGAUCUUAAUGGACCUAAUUUGCUAUAUGUACUUUCUGAAGUUUGCUUACUGAACACUCAUGAGACAUCUUCAGAGUUUUUGAAUGUAAUUGCCCAAAAAGAGAUACCAAAGAGUAGUUCUGGGAAUCUUAGCCUUUUGGUCUUAGUUUAGGCUCUGUUUUGUUGAUAUUUGCCUUUGGCCUUAUAAAAUGCCUAAUUUCAAAUCAUUUUAGUAGUGGAGGUUAUUUAUCUCUGUUCCUGGAGAAAGAUUUCACUGGUAAAACAUCCUUAUAAAUGACCAUCUCUUUUUAAGCAUAUUACCAGAAUGCUGUUGUUUAUUGAAGGUGGCAUGUGUGUGUCUUACAGAUUUAUUUUUACCUUUCAGUAAGAAACAAGCUUCAUUCUCACUGUUCAUAGACAACUCUAAUGCCUCAACUUUUCUGCAAUAAAUUUGAAAUAUUUUAUAGACUCUGUGUUACAUAGACUUUGCUUACACUCAAGAGAAAUUGCAAAUGUAAUAAUAGCUACAAGAUUCACUUGUGUUGUCUGAAUAAUGUACAAACAUGUUUCAAAUGACUAGACAAAAAUUAUGAAAGCAGCAUAUGACUGAAAUGAUAAAUAAAGUAUGGGGACC